GUCUACGGCCACGCCACCCUGAACGUGCCCGAUCCCGUCUGAUCUUGGAAGCUAAGCAGGGCCGGUCCUGGUUAGUACUUGGAUGGGAGUCCAUCUAGGAAGACCAGGUGCUGUAGGCA
rnacentral:rRNA from 1 species